UACGAAGGGAGCUAGCGUUGUUCGGAAUCACUGGGCGUAAAGCGCACGUAGGCGGGUUUGUCAGUCCGGGGUGAAAUCCCGGAGCUCAACUCCGGAACUGCCCUUGAUACAGCAAGCCUUGAGUCCGGAAGAGGUAGGUGGAAUUCCUAGUGUAGAGGUGAAAUUCGUAGAUAUUAGGAAGAACACCAGUGGCGAAGGCGGCCUACUGGUCCGGCACUGACGCUGAGGUGCGAAAGCGUGGGGAGCAAACAGG
rnacentral:rRNA from 1 species